UUUUUUUUUUUUUUUUUUUUUUUUUUUUUUUUUUUUUUUCC
rnacentral:ribozyme from 1 species